CGCGGAGUGGAGCAGCUAGGUAGCUCGUCGGGCUCAUAACCCGAAGGUCAUAGGUUCAAAUCCUGUCUCCGCAACCA
rnacentral:tRNA from 4 species